UACGGAGGGUGCGAGCGUUGUCCGGAAUCACUGGGCGUAAAGGGCGCGUAGGCGGCAUGCCAAGCGUGUGGUGAAAGCCCGGGGCUCAACCCCGGGUCGGCCGUGCGGACUGGCGUGCUCGAGCACUGUAGGGGCGGGUGGAAUUCCGGGUGUAGCGGUGGAAUGCGUAGAGAUCCGGAAGAACACCGGUGGCGAAGGCGGCCCGCUGGGCAGGAAGGGAGCGUAAGCUCCCGGCUGACGCUGAGGCGCGACAGCGUGGGGAGCAAACAGG
rnacentral:rRNA from 1 species